ensembl:lncRNA
AUAGAACACAGUUCCUCUUUCCAGAAUGUCAUCUUCAGCCUGCUUUUCAGAACCUGUAUUUCAGUGGAACAUGAGGUCACCACAUUGCUGGAUCCAGAGUGACUUUGCAUAACCUCAGAAGAGGUCAGCUCCCCUGGUUCUUAGGCCUUUGGACUCAGACUAGAAUUGCACUGCAGGCUUUCCUGGGUCUGUAGCUUGCUGAUGACAGAUUGUGGGACUUCUCAGCCUUCAUAAUCAUGGAUCCACUUGUGUGUGGUUUUGCACCUACAUGCCAUCCUGACCCCGAAAUCAGAAAAGAAGAGAGACGAUAUAAAGGAUAUUUGUAUCAAAUCACUGGAGUGCCUCAGGGCAUGAGAAAGUUUUUGUGCUGAUUCAUUGUUACUUUAAAAAAUGCCUCAUUAUUGCAGCAAAUGCCACAUCUGAGCUCUUUCUUGUAUUAAAGAUGCAGAACACUUUCUUGAAG